UACAGAGGUCUCAAGCGUUGUUCGGAUUCAUUGGGCGUAAAGGGUGCGUAGGCGGCGCGGUAAGUCGGGUGUGAAAUCUCGGGGCUUAACUCCGAAACUGCAUUUGAUACUGCGGUGCUUGAGGACUGGAGAGGAGACUGGAAUUUACGGUGUAGCAGUGAAAUGCGUAGAGAUCGUAAGGAAGACCAGUGGCGAAGGCGGGUCUCGUGGACAGUUCCUGACACUGAGGCACGAAGGCCAGGGGAGCAAACGGG
rnacentral:rRNA from 1 species